rnacentral:rRNA from 1 species
AGCGAACGCUGGCGGCAGGCCUAAUACAUGCAAGUCGAGCGCACCUUCGGGUGAGCGGCGGACGGGUGAGUAACGCGUGGGAACGUGCCCUUUGGUACGGGAUAACUGAGGGAAACUUCAGCUAAUACCGUAUGUGCCCUACGGGGGAAAGAUUUAUCGCCAUUGGAGCAGCCCGCGUUGGAUUAGGUAGUUGGUGAGGUAAAGGCUCACCAAGCCUACGAUCCAUAGUUGGUCUGAGAGGAUGAUCAGCCACACUGGGACUGAGACACGGCCCAGACUCCUACGGGAGGCAGCAGUAGGGAAUCUUGCGCAAUGGGCGAAAGCCUGACGCAGCCAUGCCGCGUGAACGAUGAAGGUCUUAGGAUUGUAAAAUUCUUUCACCGGGGAAGAUAAUGACGGUACCCGGAGAAGAAGCCCCGGCUAACUUCGUGCCAGCCGCCGCCGUAAAAC